GACGGCCAUAUCAUUCUGAAAACACCGCUUCUCGUCCGAUCACCGAAGUUAAGUAUCUUCGGACACGGUCAGUACUUGGGAGGGUGACCACCUGGAAACGAAGCGU